rnacentral:rRNA from 1 species
AAACAGGGGGAUAGCCUUUCGAAAGAGAGAUUAAUACCCGUAAUAAUUGAACGGCAUCGUUUGAUUUGAAAGCUCCGGCGGUUUGAGAUGAGUAUGCGUCUGAUUAGCUAGUUGGUGAGGUAACCGGCUCACCCAAGGCGACGAUCAGUAGGGGACCUGAGAGGACUAACCCCCACACUGGUACUGAGACACGGACCAGACUCCUACGGGAGGCAGCAGUAAGGAAUAUUGGUCAAUGGAGGCAACUCUGAACCAGCCAUGCCGCGUGCAGGAUGACGGCCCUAUGGGUUGUAAACUGCUUUUAUACAAGAGAAAACCCUGGUACGUGUACCAAGUUGAUAGUAUUGUAAGAAUAAGCAUCGGCUAACUUCGUG